CAACAGAGCAAGAGCCUGUUGGGUGGCGCUGGGGGCGCCGUGCCUCGCCCGGAGCCUCACCCAGAGCCUUCUGGGGUGGUGGAUAGUUAUUGAGGCUGAGAGAGGUGAAGCACCUUGCCUAAGGUCAUACAGCCAGUGUUCGAGCCCAGGUUUGAGACUUAAAUACCUCUCUACUAAAAGGGAAAUGGAGAAAAAGAUGCUGACUGCCAGGCUGGUUUCGGAUCCUUUGUAUUCUGUCAGAUGAGAACACUUGUUUACCUUCCAGGACUGACCUGAGCAUGAGGCCACUAAAUGGAUAGAACUUUUAAGACUGAUGAUUGGCUCCAGAGAUGCACAAAAACAGCAGGAUGGGUGCAUCAAUCAGGACAGAGGCCUCAAAAAGCUGUCAAAAAGCCCUAUACUUAACGGAGACCAGCCACAGACUUCCUUCCUGUACCAGCUUUCCAAGAGGG